AGGCAGGAAAUCUAGUCCCAGAGUUCUUGUUCUUCUCUGCAAGCAGCUUCCGUGCAGACUCUUCCUCCUUUCAGCUCUGCAGCCUGGUGCAGAAAACCACCGAAUGCGACAUCCUGAAGCCAGCCCUCCUCAGUGAUGUGGUUACAUAGAGAUGGCUCCCAGUCUGGAUGCAAAUUCCCAUUUCGAUGUUUAGAAUUGCAGGAGUUAACCCCUUGGGAACCAGGUGCGUCUAGACCACCAACCGGGAGACCAUCAGUUAAACAGCGCUGUGCCACUGACUAUAAAUGUCGCUAGAUACAAAGUUGAUCUGUACAAUAAAAAGAAGUAUAGACACGUGAACGCCAGAGUUGAAGUACCGUACAUAUAUAAGCUGAACUAAAGAUUAGCUUUCCAGAUUUGGAUGGAUGGAUAGAUGGACGGUUCUCGGUUUACUCUGCAAAACGUCAGGUUAUAUCUAGAAGAAGAUCUCUGUCAGUCAUUGUGGCCACUUACAUAACCUAGAAGACUGACAAUCUGACAUCUUGUUUUAUUCCAUCUACAGCAUCAAUUCCGGAUCUCUCUACCUGUAUCAGUGAUUUUCUAGAAGUAUUACAAACGUGUUCCUUAUUUCUCCGGCAUAUAGAGGUACAUGUAUAAGGAGUCAGUCCUGUACUAGGUGGAGGUGCUCCUGGAUGGUGUGCUACUAGCACUCACCGUGUGACAUUGCAAGGAUACUGAAUUCAGCGCUGAGUUGAAGUGAUCCCAUCCUUCAUGGAUCAAAAAGAAAAGGGAAAUCACUUCCAUGCCACCAGAGUGCAACCAUACUUCCAGCCGGACAUGUCCUGGGCAGAGUUCAACAUGGAUAAACAUCUAAAUAAGACAGAAAUGCCACAAAUGCUGUGGAGAACAGAGACAAGCCACAUGAGAGAGGAAGGGGGUAGGAAGUGGUUGCAUAAAUGCACUCAUGUAUCAAGCCUCCCAUUCCAGCUGUUUUACAUAAAACAUUUCAUUAUUAGAGAGGAGGGGCUGAAUGAAAUGUGAACCAGUGUAAGGGAAGUCUCCAGCUGCUGGGAGAUCAGCCUGGUUCUGAGCACAGGAGAGACAGCUACAGUAUGUGCAGCAGGCACCAUAGCAAUCAAACCAGAGUAACCACCGGGUGGCUCCACAAUAACCCUUUUUGACAUUUAACAGACUAUAAAUUCAAGGCAUUUCUGUUUUGUUUUUAUCACCCAUUACAAAGGAGAUUCCAUGUAUCUGAUUGAUAUUAGUUGCAUGCUCUACUUGAAAUAUUACAAGACUGACUGGACAGUCUGGCCCAUGUGAUAAAAGGGCUUUUGAUUUUCAGAAUAAAUGCGGCCUGUGGAACACAUCCACUGGUGUCAAAAUGAAGUGCUUAAAAUGUGUUUGCUGUGUGUGUGUGUGUGUGUGUGUGUGUCACCAAUUAAAUGCAUGUAGAUGGAUAUAGAUGAACAAAUCAUUGUGUCACACGUAACCAUGCAUACUGUUUGUGUCAGCCUGAUGUGCACCUCACUGUGUUACUUUGU